UCUCGGGUCCCCUAGGUCGCGGGGCAGCCGGGGCGGAAGGGGCUUGUUCAUUAUUUUGAGAGUUUGUUGUGAACGUCAUAACCUUUCGUCCUUAAAUAUUGCCGAUACUUGACCUACGCAAGAGACAAUGUCAUGUGAUUCAGCCUAAUAUCUCAGAGGAUGCAGCAUUCAAGGUUCUAUCUUGGAAGCAGAGACUGUGCCCUCACCAGAUGCUGAACCUGCUGAGCACCCUGAUCUUCCACUUCACCUUCAUCAGAACUGUGAGAAUUAACUUUCUAUUAUUUAUAAAUUACUCAGUCUAAGAUAUUUUGUUAUAGCAGCAGGAUCAGAUUGAGACAAGGAAUUUAUACCAAUUUAGACUAUGCAUGAAUCCACAAGAAUCCAAGUGGCACAAGAAUCUAGCACCAAAAUGGCAGCUCAGGGAAAGCUGAUUCAGUUUAACGUUCAAAAGAAGAGGCAAAACUAAUUCUAGAAACUUGUUCCCUUGAGAUGCUCGGAGACGUGCCCUGGUUUAGAAAGAAAAUACAGAAUGGAAGCUUUGCUCUAAAAGACAGGUUCUUGCAUUAGAAAAAGGGUUACUUCGGACUCACUGGCUCUAAAUAAAUUAGUCAGGAGAAAACUAAUGAAUGUUACCAUGGAAUUAUCCAUAGGACUUAACCUUCUCAAAAUAGUUGUGAGUGGGAUGAAAGAGCAACAAUGAGUUAACCAGAGACACUGGAAGGUGUUAAUUAGAAAAAAAA
rnacentral:lncRNA from 1 species